AACAAACGCUGGCGGCGUGCCUAACACAUGCAAGUCGAACGAGAAAGUCGGUUUCGGCCGAUGAGUAAAGUGGCGCACGGGUGAGUAACGCGUGGAUAAUCUACCCUUUAGUCCGGAAUAACUUGCCGAAAGGUGAACUAAUACCGGAUGACAUCCCGGGUUCUCCGGAAACCGGGAUCAAAGAAGGCCUCUGCUUGCAAGCUUUUGCUGAAGGAUGAGUCCGCGUACCAUUAGCUAGUUGGUGGGGUAAUGGCCUACCAAGGUUAUGAUGGUUAGCUGGUCUGAGAGGAUGAUCAGCCACACUGGAACUGAAACACGGUCCAGACUCCUACGGGAGGCAGCAGUGAGGAAUAUUGCGCAAUGGGGGCAACCCUGACGCAGCAACGCCGCGUGAGUGAGGAAGGUUUUCGGAUUGUAAAGCUCUGUCGAGCGGAAAGAAAUGCACGAUGGCUAAUAUCCAUCAUGCUUGACGGUACCGCUAGAGGAAGACCGGCUAAACUCCG
rnacentral:rRNA from 1 species